GACGAACGCUGGCGGCGUGCCUAAUACAUGCAAGUCGAGCGGACUAAUGGGAGCUUGCUCCCGUUAGUUAGCGGCGGACGGGUGAGUAACACGUGGGCAACCUACCUGUAAGACUGGGAUAACUUCGGGAAACCGGAGCUAAUACCGGAUGACAUAAGGGAACUCCUGUUCCUUUAUUGAAAGAUGGCUUCGGCUAUCACUUACAGAUGGGCCCGCGGCGCAUUAGCUAGUUGGUGAGGUAACGGCUCACUAAGGCGACGAUGCGUAGCCGACCUGAGAGGGUGAUCGGCCACACUGGGACUGAGACACGGCCCAGACUCCUACGGGAGGCAGCAGUAGGGAAUCUUCCGCAAUGGACGAAAGUCUGACGGAGCAACGCCGCGUGAGCGAUGAAGGCCUUCGGGUCGUAAAGCUCUGUUGUUAGGGAAGAAUAAGUGCUAGUUGAAUAAGCUGGCACCUUGACGGUACCUAACCAGAAAGCCACGGCUAACUACGUGCCAGCCGCCGCAGUAACAC
rnacentral:rRNA from 1 species